ensembl:lncRNA
CUGCCAUGUCCCUUCUUUGGGAGCUAACAUAAGUUUAUUGGUUGAGUGCAAAACAAGAGAGUCGGUUGGGAACGGACGUUCUUUUUAAAUCAAGCCUCUUCCAGUGAGACUCCAUCUUGGGGCAAAGCUCCAGGAUUUCAGUGAAAGUUUGCUUUCUUAGUAAACAGCCUUGGACAUUCUUCCUCAUCAUCUCUCACUGAUGUUCUUCAUCGUUUUAUCAGUGACUUAUAGAUUGGAAGAAAAAACCCUAGAUUUUAAGAUAAACUUCUAGAAAGCAGAAUGGAAGUUGGAAGGUUGGUACCUAGCAGCUUGGAAGACAGGAUCAGAGUUCAAAAGAGAGGAGAGGAAAUUGAAAAAGAAUUCACAAACAAAACAGUACAAUGAAUAUUUGUUGAAUGAGUGCUAAAAAUGCAAGGCAGUUCUUCUGGGGAAGAUGAAGAUGAAGAAGCAGGUUAUAAAGUGAAAAAGUCUAUGGACCCUAGUUGUGGUACCUUUGCUUCUGAAGUAGAAACCUAAGAUAUAUUGUGAGAAGCAGAAAUGUACUUUGUAACAGCAGUUUAUUGGAUUAGGCUGUUGAAAACAAUCGAUUAUUCAGAGGGUAGUUCUUGACUGGUGCAAUAAAAUGUACUCUCUUUGCAUUAUUGAGGAGAAACUGACAUACAAAAAAACUGUAUGCAUUUAAAAUGCUCAAUAUAAUGAGUUUUGAUUUAUACACAAACCUGUAAAACCAUCUCCACAGUCAAGACGCUGAACCUUGCCAUCAUCGCUAAACAUUGCCUCAUGCCCAUUUGUACUCUGUCUCCCUCCAGUCUGGGUACCCAGGUAACCACUAACCUGUUUUCUGUCAUUAUUGAUUGUAUUUUAUAGACUAGUUUUAUAUAAAUUAAAUCAAAUAGCAGAUACUCUUUUUAGUCUAGCCUCUUUCACUCAGCAUUAUUUUGAGAGGCCAUGAUCUUUCAAGUGUCAAUAUUUCAUUUCUUUCUUUAUUCCCCAGUGGUAUUUCAUAUAGUUUAUUUUUUGAAGCUUAGUUAUUACUUUCCUGGAUAGAUAAGUCAGUUGACGCAUUCUUACUCUCGUUAUCCUAUUUUUUUGUUUGUUUGUCUCACAUUAUUGACUCAAUAUAUACUUAUAUUGAUUUACUUAAGGAUUUGGUUGAAAAGACUCUCUUCGAGAGGAUUCUAUGAGAGGUCAUUAAUUCAUACAUUUAUUCAAUCAUUCAGCAAAGAUUGAUUAACUCUUUCCUAGUGCUAAAAGAUAAACUUAAGAUAAACUGAGUUUAGGCAAAAAUCUAUUUGAAUGGGGCAGCACCAAACGGGAAGUGGUUAAGAGCUGGCCAUUGACUGGAGCUCAGGGAAAGACUUUUAUAGAGAAAGGGCAGAAGCAAAAUAAGGAAAUGAUUUAUUGGCUGUGACUUCAAGCCUAGUUGGCUGUUUGGGAUUGGUUGUCCUUACGUUUCAGUUUGGUAAUCUCGAGGUAUUUACAGGCCUAGAUUUUGGUUUGCUUAUGUAGGCCACCAGGACAUUAGAGCCUCCUCUGCCCAAGGGUCUCUUUGUUUCAUCAGUUCAACUCUAAGUCCCAAGUAUUAUUCUAGGUGCUGGUGAUAGAGAAAUAGGGGAAACAGACCUGAAUCCCAGCUCUCCUGCCCUUAUAUUCCAAUGAAAGGAGAUGGACAUUUUGCAUUUUUUAGCUUUACUGAGGAGCAGUCAAUUCUCCUGAUCACUUUGAUUCUCAUGCUCCUUUUCUUUUUUUUAAUGAUUUUUAUUUUUUUCCAUUAUAGUUGGUUUACAGUGUUCUGUCAAUUUCUGCUGUACAGCAAAGUGACCCAGUCACAUAUAUAUAUAUAUUCUUUUUCUCACAUUAUGCUCCAUCAUGUUCCAUCACAAGUGAUUAGAUAUAGUUCCCUGUGCUCAUUCCUUUUUUAAACAAUAAACACAGUGAAAUAUUUUAGGAGAACCCUGAUGGCUCAGCAUGGGUUAAGGAUCGGCAUUG